AUUGAACGCUGGCGGCAGGCCUAACACAUGCAAGUCGAGCGGAUGAAGGGAGCUUGCUCCUGGAUUCAGCGGCGGACGGGUGAGUAAUGCCUAGGAAUCUGCCUGGUAGUGGGGGAUAACGUCCGGAAACGGGCGCUAAUACCGCAUACGUCCUGAGGGAGAAAGUGGGGGAUCUUCGGACCUCACGCUAUCAGAUGAGCCUAGGUCGGAUUAGCUAGUUGGUGGGGUAAAGGCCUACCAAGGCGACGAUCUGUAACUGGUCUGAGAGGAUGAUCAGUCACACUGGAACUGAGACACGGUCAAGACUCCUACGGGAGGCAGCAGUGGGGAAUAUUGGACAAUGGGCGAAAGCCUGAUCCAGCCAUGCCGCGUGUGUGAAGAAGGUCUUCGGAUUGUAAAGCACUUUAAGUUGGGAGGAAGGGCAGUAAGUUAAUACCUUGCUGUUUUGACGUUACCAACAGAAUAAGCACCGGCUAACUUCGUG
rnacentral:rRNA from 1 species